rnacentral:lncRNA from 10 species
GGCAAAUUUGCCUAAAAUAUCAUUAAAACAAUCUGCCUUUUCUUCAUGGUUUUGAGAUGUCAGGUACACAUACAUAUAUAUUUAUAUAUCAUCUUUUCCAUGUUAUUAAUAUAUUUGUCUGUUCAUCACCAGUGCUAUCCCCAAGAUUUUUGUGAUGCUGGUUAGCUGUGUAUUCUAACUGGCUUGGUGACUCACACGUCCUGUGUACUGAUGAAACUACUGACUCAGCUGGUCUGAAGGACCCCAGGAGGAGCUGACUCACCAAAUAAUGCAUUUUUCACAUACUGAAGUUUUCAUUCUCCUGUCCCCAGCCAAUAAAUGACCCCAAUUUUGCAGCCCUUCACCCUUCAUAAUUCACCUCAGAACUCCUUGGGGAGAUGGAUUUGAGGGUUUUCUUCCAUCUCCUCACUCUAUACCCUACAAUAAUUAAAGUCUUUCUCUG